UACGUAGGUGGCAAGCGUUGUCCGGAUUUACUGGGCGUAAAGAGCGCGCAGGCGGUCGGAUAAGUCGAGUGUGAAAGCCCCUGGCUCAACCAGGGAGGGUCAUUCGAUACUGUUCGACUCGAAGGCAGGAGAGGGAAGUGGAAUUCCGGGUGUAGUGGUGAAAUGCGUAGAUAUCCGGAGGAACACCAGUGGCGAAGGCGACUUUCUGGCCUGUUCUUGACGCUGAGGCGCGAAAGCUAGGGGAGCAAACGGG
rnacentral:rRNA from 2 species